UUGACCUCAAAUCAGGUAGGAUUACCCGCUGAACUUAAGCAUAUCAAUAAGCGGAGGAAAAGAAACUAACAAGGAUUCCCCUAGUAACGGCGAGUGAAGAGGGAAGAGCUCAAAUUUGAAAUCUGGCGGCCUACGGUCGUCCGAGUUGUAAUCUAGAGAAGUGUUUUCCGUGCUGGACCGUGUACAAGUCCUUUGGAACAAGGCGUCAUAGAGGGUGAGAAUCCCGUCUACGACACGGACUACCAGUGCUAUGUGAUACACUCUCAACGAGUCGAGUUGUUUGGGAAUGCAGCUCAAAAUGGGUGGUAAAUUCCAUCUAAAGCUAAAUACAGGCGAAAGACCGAUAGCGAACAAGUACCGUGAGGGAAAGAUGAAAAGCACUUUGGAAAGAGAGUUAAACAGUACGUGAAAUUGUUGAAAGGGAAACGCUUGAAGUCAGUCGCGUCUUCAGAAAUUCAGCCAGGCUUCUGCUUGGUGCACUUUUCUGUUGUACGGGCCAGCAUCAGUUUUGGUCGCCAGAAAAAGGUGGGAGGAAGGUGGCACCUCCGGGUGUGUUAUAGCCUCUCAUCGUAUGUGGCGGCUGGGACUGAGGAAUGCAGCACGCCUUUAUGGCCGGGGUUCGCCCACGUAACGUGCUUAGGAUGCUGGCGUAAUGGCUUU
rnacentral:rRNA from 1 species